rfam:Arabis alpina cultivar Pajares scaff_44338_1_contig_0, whole genome shotgun sequence.
GGGUGCGAUCAUACCAGCACUAAUGCACCGGAUCCCAUUAAAACUGCGCAGUUAAGUGUGCUUGGACGAGAGUAGUACUAGGAUGGGUGACCUCCUCGGAAGUCCUCGUGUUGCACCCC